CUUCUGCGUCGCUCACGCUGGGAGCUGUAGACCGGAGCUGUUCCUAUUCGGCCAUCUUGGCUCCUCCUUAUUUGGCCUUUUCAAGAUAAAAUCCCUGGAGAUUAUAUAUGAAACAACCACAAGAAGACAGAAAGGUGAAAAGAAAAAGGCAGACAAGAUAGAGACCUCAGGACCAAGGAAUGGCAUUGUGCCAAGAGGAAAUAGUCUCCAAUCAAUAACUUAAACUCCCACCUCAAGAAACAAGAAAAAGAAGAGCAAAAUAAAUCCAAAGCAAGCAUAAGGAUGGAAAUAAUAAAGGAAAAAAAUCUUCCAUGUCCUUGAGCCAGUUACCAGAGAAGAGCAGAAAUCCAGGGAGGACAAGGGAUUGACCUGGGUAGUAUUGAGCUGGAAGGUAAAAGCAAUGAACAAAAAGAGGUUCAGAUUCCUUAUUUUGGAGCGACAGUGUCAACAAGAAACAUCUGCCAAACCACAAGGACCAUGUAGAAGCUGGUGUCCCAGGAGGUAAGAUUUUCUACCUUUCCUCCAUUGCACAACAAGCUAUAACCAUGCCUGGUGGAGAAAAUGGAUGAAUAAGGAAGGUUAGCUGUGAGUGAAUUUCAAUUCUGCUAAUGUUUUUUGAACCAUUACCAGAUAACCAGGCCCUGUGUGGGACCUAGGUGGGAGCCAAAAAAAAAAAAAAAAAUGGCUCUAUCCACUUAAAGGGUUUCAAUCUAGGCAGACAAAACAGAAUAUCAGAAAAUUGCACAAAGAAUUUCAUAAGAAGGGCAAGCGUCAUAAUGCUACAAAAGGCAUGCAAAGUGCAAUGGGAGAACAGAAUAUGCACACUCAGUUUCCUCUGAAAUGUCAGGAAAAGCUACCUAGAAACGAAGAUAGGAUUUAAAUUUGGAUUUAGUAAAUGAAUAGAACUUGGACAAACAGGGCAUGGAGAGAUUUACAUAUCAUAUUUACGAGUUUCAAAUUUAUCUUAUAGGCAAAGAGAGACGUGGAAAUUUUAAGCAAUUUGGAGGGUAGAAGAAGGCUGAUGUGGUCGGAUUUACAUUUAAACCUCUGUGGUUGUUGUGUGAAAGUAGAUUUCACAAAAUCCGGGAUGGAUUCAGGGAGAAGGGUUAAAGGACCAUUUAGCUAAUCCUGGCAAAAAAAAAAAAAAAAAAAAAAAAAAAAGAGUGUGCCAGUGAUGGUGGAGGCAUUUGUGAGGGAGAAUUGACAGGAUUUGGUGAUUGACUGAAUGUAGCGAGUGGAGGGAAAGGAAGUGUUAAGGGUUGACUCAAGUUUAGGGCUCAAAAAACUGGAUGGUGCCAUUCACAUAGGUAGGGGACAAGGAAAGAAGAGCAUCAGGUUUAGAAGGGUUCAAUUUUUGAGAUAAUAAAUUUGAAGUGCCUGAGAAGCUACCAAUUGCAGGUUCCAACUGGUAGUUGGAUAUAAGGAUCUGAAGCUCUAAGGGAACUGGGUUUCACAUGGCUACCAAGUAAACCGCACUGCCACACUCAAAACUAGGGUUUAGGGUUUUUUGGAAGAUGGCUACUAGGGCUAUAUAGUUUCUGGGAGUAGUAGAGGCAGAAGAAAAACUAUUCUUAGAACUCAAAGAUCCCUAGAUUAUAGAUUAGGCACUAACCUAGAUAUAGAUAAAUGCUACUUUCUGCUUUUCCUUGCAGCUUGACCAAUUUGAUUAUUUCUCUCCAACUAGUUGUUUGAUUUUGGUCACCUUCUCUUCUUUAGGCAUUAGUUUUCUCAUUUAUAAAAGAGCUUAAGGUUUUGUAUUAUUCAUAUAUAAGAUUGUAAGCUUAUAAAAAUAUCUUGUUGUUCAAUAUAUUUACACAAAAUAGCAAUAUCCAGGAAUUUCAUGCAACCUUACAAAUUCUGAGAAUGAGUUAGCCAUGGACUAAUGAAUUAAUUGGGGUUUUAUUUACACUUGCAUUGUAUGUUAGAAGUAUAUUCAAGAAUAGCAAUGGACUUGGCCCUGGUCCACUCAGAAUUUGCAUAUAGAAAAAUUAUAGCUGCAAUUCCGGCCUGGAGUUCCUACUAACCAAUGAUUCAUUGUUCUUUACAAAGGAUUUGCAAACUCUAAUUAGUGAGCCCAAUCUAUUAUUUAGCUAUCACCCUAUUUAAGAUUCACCCCUACAAAUCUCAAUAAUUGCACAUGAGAAUUCAUGUAUAUGCUUACAUUUUUAAGUCUCACAGUGCAGUGGUGGUAGAGCAUUUGGAAUAGAAACAUUUAGAAGUGUCCUGAAUCUUUAUGACAGACACGUACUGAACUUAAUUCAGUCUUUGGAGCACUAAGUAAAUCCUCAAUAUAAGGACAUGCAUGGUACAGCAAAGUUAUUUGCAUCCCAGUUGUCAUCCAUGUUCUCUUCUAUAACUUACAGUCAAAUUAUAUAGUUUCCUAACCUUGUUAUCUUGGAAUUAUUUUAACUCAUGACUAGGGUUAUCACACAGGCUUACCACUCAAACUGACAUAUUUAUACUCACAUACAUAUUUCCCUCCUAAAUAUUUCUUAUCAGACAAUUGUUUCAUAAAAUAUAUAUUAUUUUGUUUAUAUAAUUUCUGCCUACGGUGUUGCUGUUGAUCUAGACAACUACUUUUAAACAAUUAGUUAGAGUAAUUCAGUUUUUCUUAAGAAGACUUCAUUUGCAGGCAAGAAAAACACUGUGAAUAAAACCGUGAGCAAGUCUUCACAGAAUAUUUUGCAUUUUUGAGACACUCAAUAGAAGAUUAAGGACUAUGUCUCAAUGUUUUUCAUAGGGCAACUUUCACUUCCUCAUUUCUCA
rnacentral:lncRNA from 10 species